UUUACAUUCAAAGAAACAAGAAUAAAGCUUGUAACAAUUACAACUUUUAAAUCACAAACUAUGAACUACAAAACACAAAAGGAUUCACCAACUACUAGACCUAGGCUCUGAUACCACUUGAAGGAUUAUUUUUGUGAAAACAUGUUCAUUUAAGCAACAUCUAUAAGCAUGCAAUUAACAAUUAAAGGCGGAAUCAUGCUU
rnacentral:lncRNA from 1 species